rnacentral:lncRNA from 1 species
CAGAAUUCAGACACACCUCCAAGGCCAGACCGCUUGCCUCUUGAUGAGAAAGGACAUGUAACGUGGUCAUUUCAUGGACCUGAAAAUGCCAUACCCAUACCUGAUUUAUCUGAAGGCAAUUCCUCAGAUAUCAACUAUCAAACUAGGAAAACUGUGAGUUUAACACCAAGUCCUACAACACAAGUUGAAACACCUGAUCUUGUGGAUCAUGAUAACACUUCACCACUCUUCAGAACACCCCUCAGUUUUACUAAUCCACUUCACUCUGAUGACUCAGACUCAGAUGAAAGAAACUCUGAUGGUGCUGUGACCCAGAAUAAAACUAAUAUUUCAACAGCAAGUGCCACAGUUUCUGCUGCCACUAGUACUGAAAGCAUUUCUACUAGGAAAGUAUUGCCAAUGUCCAUUGCUAGACAUAAUAUAGCAGGAACAACACAUUCAGGUGCUGAAAAAGAUACACCUGUAAGAUCGGAAUGGAGUGAACUUCAAAGUCAGGAACGAUCUGAACAAAAAAAGUCUGAAGAUGGUGAUUAACAAAGGCUUUGUGUUGCUACUUAGAUCAUCCAGCGGGAGGUAUUCACUAUGAAAUGUGCAUAGAAUGUCCACCUACUUUCAGUGACAAGAGAGAACAAAUAUCAGAAAAUCCAACAGAAGCCACAGAUAUUGGUUUUGGUAAUCGAUGUGGAAAACCCAAAGGACCAAGAGAUCCACCUUCAGAAUGGACAUGAUUCAGGGAGCUAGAAGACACUUUAAGUUAUACUGGAAAAUUCAGGUGCCACUGAAAGCCAGAUUUAUAGUAUUCCAUCUUUAAUAUGUGGGACUAACAGCAGUGUAGAUUGUUACCUUAAUAUUUUUUGCUGGGACCAUCUACCUGCCUUAUACUACACUUA